rnacentral:rRNA from 1 species
CCCUUAGAUGUUCUGGGCCGCACGCGCGCUACACUGACGAAUGCAACGAGCUUAUAACCUUGGCCGAAAGGUCUGGGUAAUCUCCAAAUUUCGUCGUGAUGGGGAUAGAUUAUUGCAAUUAUUAAUCUUCAACGAGGAAUGCCUAGUAAGCGCGAGUCAUCAGCUCGUGCUGAUUACGUCCCUGCCCUUUGUACACACCGCCCGUCGCUCCUACCGAUUGAAUGGUCCGGUGAAGCGUUCGGACCGUGGCCUUUGGACGGUUCGCCGUCUGUUGGCUGCGGGAAGUUCGUUAAACCUUAUCAUUUAGAGGAAGGAGAAGUCGUAACA